AAGCGUGCGCAGGCGGUUUUGUAAGACUGUCGUGAAAUACCCCGGGCUCAACCUGGGAAUGGCGAUGGUGACUGCAAGGCUAGAGUUUGGCAGAGGGGGGUAGAAUUCCACGUGUAGCAGUGAAAUGCGUAGAUAUGUGGAGGAACACCGAUGGCGAAGGCAGCCCCCUGGGUCAAAACUGACGCUCAUGCACGAAAGCGUGGGGAGCAAACAGGAUUAGAUACCCCAGU
rnacentral:rRNA from 1 species